rnacentral:lncRNA from 1 species
UAGCGUGAUGACAAUUAUGGGAGCCUCGGUAUGUGAUAUCGAAUACAGUCGGAUCAUCAUCUGAUCUCUGCACUUGUUUUGUUGCCCAACAGUUUUGCAUGUGACGAUAAGUGCAUCUGUAGUAACUUCUGCAAAACACAUGUAAACUUGGUAUCAGAACAUAUGUUUCUGUUCUUCAACUGAUUUAUGAUUGAACCAUAGUUAAUCGAUCGAUUGAAAACUUCGUUUUUCGUUUUUAUAAGUUUAUGACUUUCAUGCAGGUUAAUGAAGUUGACUUAUUACCUAGGAUAUUUAGCUCUUAAAAUAUCCUUCUGUCCGUACUUUCUCCAGCUAUAUCCAUCAUCAGUAGGACCUUCAAAUCCGCUCUCCGCGCUGACUUUGACUUGUUCAGUCCAUGUGGGCUGUGAUUUUCUGCAAUAUCCAUCAAGAAACAGGUUAGUUGACCAAUGAAAAUCAGCUGCUGAAACUCUCCUUUUCAUUUUAUAGAGUAGUAUUUGACUUGACACGGACUUUUUAGCACAUAUCGAAAGUAGUAUUCUUAGAUCUUGUGGUUUUAAACAUGUCAUGGCAUUUCUAUAGCUACAAAAGCAGGUUAUUAAAGGUAAAACGAGAAGUUUGAAGUUAGAGGAAUUUUCUAAAUAUAGAAAAGUGUCAUUUUUAAUGGAAAUUGAUCUUCUACCUCUUCUUUGAAAUAUUAAUGAGCUCAUGAUGAUCUUGGAAACUCCUUUUCUUGUCAUCACUCUUAGGACUUCCAUCAAUGGAUACCGAAGACUCGAUUGCACCAGUUGAUGGUGGUAGAGCCGGCGGGGAUUGGACUGUUGAGCCACCCCAGUUGAGAAUCAACAGAGAUUGCUCAUAAGAAGAAAGAAUCUUCUGAAGAAGCAAUUCUUGAUUCU